UGAUUUCAAGGGGGCUUUACAUGAAUGCUGUUGAUAAAAAUUGUCCAAAGGAACUGGAUAAAAAAUGAAUAAAUAGAAAUGCAUCCAUCCUGCACCUAUUAUUCUUCAUCUAAGUGAAAACUUGUUAAUAUGUGUUUGAAAGGCCAUUGAUAAAGACACACAAGUUGAAACGCGUCUGGCCACAAUAUACACAUCUUGCUCCAUUGAGGCACAGAUUUAAAAUCUACAAGCAAGAUAACCAGCAGCUUUUACAUUCAUUCAUUCAUUAGUAUGGACUAAAUACUUAGGCACUUUUGAUU